rnacentral:ncRNA from 1 species
UAAGUGGCGUUGAUAAGGAAUAGUAGAAAACUUACGCAUUUCAGAGAGAGAAGCAGUGGUGAGAGCUUCUUAUGCAGUGGUUUUUGAACCGGCCCUUGGAGCCUUGUAUGAAAGGAUUAACUCCCCAAGUACAACGUAGAACCGGCGUUAACGGUAUAAAGAGAGCAUAUAUACAAAGUAGUAUAUAUGCUAAUUAGGGUGGUACCGCCGAGUCUUUCGGUCCCUUAU